rnacentral:rRNA from 1 species
UACAGAGGGGGCAAGCGUUGUUCGGAAUUACUGGGCGUAAAGGGCGCGUAGGCGGCCUGUUAAGUCGAACGUGAAAUCCCUGGGCUCAACCCAGGAACUGCGUCCGAUACUGGCAGGCUUGAAUUCGGGAGAGGGAUGCGGAAUUCCAGGUGUAGCGGUGAAAUGCGUAGAUAUCUGGAGGAACACCGGUGGCGAAGGCGGCAUCCUGGACCGAUAUUGACACUGAGAGACGAAAGCCAGGGGAGCAAACGGG